rnacentral:lncRNA from 1 species
AUUCCAGCAGGACGUGACCCGGGUAGUCUUUAACGACGUCGUUGGCCCUCGCCGGUGUUUUGAGCUUGAAUGUCUCGCCGGUGACCUUCAUCACCUUCGUCUUCUUUCCCUUGCAGCCCAUGGCGUUUCCCAUAUUUUCGGUGAUUUUUGGAGAAAAAGAUUGAACUGGUUUAGUUUUAAUUUGGAUAUGUAAUUAGGUAUGGGUUCAUAUAAUUUGAUGAAAUGGUUCUUUCAAAAAGAAGAUAGGUUUUUUGCUUUUAGCGUGUGGGUAUAUUUUUAUUUAUAUGGCCCGGCAGCCCGCGGGAGGAGAGAAAGAGACUAUUGGAGGCUAUGUGUAACAACUAAAAAUUGGUUUAGGCUUGUAAUGGAUUCUGAUUCGAGUCGAUCAAUUGUUUAGAUAUGUAUGUUGCUUAGUCAUUUAAUAUAAGAAAAAAAUAAAUUAAAUUGUUCAACUGGG